AUGAAUCCCCCCGCCCCCCCAACCCUCCUACCCCGCGGAGGCCCGCGACCGCCGCCCGGGGCCUCCUUCACCCUCAGCUCUGCUGGGAGGCCGGCUCCCCGCCCAGACCGCCCAGACCGCCCGCGCCUACCGCCGCACCCGGGAGCGGGAAACGCGGCCGGCGGCGCGCGCGGCCCAGCGCAGGCCGCUCCCCUCGUGGCCGCUUCCCUCCCCCACCCCAACCGCCCCCGCCCCUCACCCCAGGGACCCGCCCGGGGCCGCGCGGCCGCCACCGGGUUACACAACCCUGCAGUCGCUGGGGGGAGGGGCGGCCUCGGAGUAGGGGGACGGAGGCGCCCUCUGGGUGCUGGGGGCGAAGCGAAGGCCGGCGGGGGCCCCGGGUCAUCCGCUGCGCCGCGCCGCCGGCCCCUCGACACCCUUCCCCCUCCGCUCCUCAGUGGGCCAGAGUCGGUGACAGGAAUCGGCUUCCAACAUGGCGGACAGGAAGCGGCCCCGCGAGGAGGAGAGAACAUUCCAGCCGCGCCGGCUCUGGGGGGAGCGGGUCUGGGGCUCCCGCCUCAGGAGAAGUUGCUGAGGGCCGGGCCUUCAACGUCAGCACUAUGGCUCUCUCUUCUGUCGCCUUUUCUCCUUCACCACGUAGUCUGCGAACAGCACUUUCUACACUCCUCGCCGGCAAGCCAGCUCAGGUCGAUUGUAGCAGAUUCCACUGGCGCUAGGAGCCAUCUAUUGAUUUUGCACCUCCUCGAAGAAUCUGUUGCCUUUUAAAAAAAAAAAUCCUUUUUCUGGUAACCGGAAGGGAAACGCAAUUCCCUUAACCUGGGGACCACUAAAGGGGCAAUACAAAGAGAGGAAAUAAAUACGUUUUUAAGAAUACAAGAGCUUCACAAUUCAGUAGAUCGUUUUGUAUUCUGGAUUCAUUUUGCUUUGUAUUCAUAUGCUAAUCUCUUCCUUUGCACGAAGGGAUUAUAGGGUUCCACAAUGGGGUAUCUGUGUAAUUUUCUAAAAGGGCACAAAGGCUUUAAAUCAUUGUUUCUUUGUAGUUGGAGGCAAGGGAGAGAAGGAGGAAUGAAAAUCUACACUGAAUAUUUUUUUAAAUUAAACUCUUGCAGGUGAAGUCAGCUGUAGACCCAAAAUAGGUCUUAGAAUGUGAAGUUUCAAGAGAGAAGAAAGGAGAGAAAGAACACUAAAAGUUUUUAAGGUUUUCUUGCAUUUACAGAAAAUAUUGAGAUUUAAAUGCGUUUUGUGUCGAUUUAACUUAUCUUGUAUUAUCACAUCACAGUCUGAUUUUUUUAAAUCAAAUGUUAGACAUUGUAGUGGUUAGGAAGGAAGAAAGGAUUUUGAUGAGGGACACAAGGGUGCACUUUAUUAAUAUAUUAUUUUUUGAGCUAGGUGGUGAUCACACAUAGUUGCUUUAUAAUUUGUUAAACUAUAUAGGAAUAAUGAUCUUUUCCCUAGAUAUGUAAUAUUGAGGAAAAUUUUAAAUUAUGAUAAAACAACAAUUUACCAUUGUAACCAUUUUUAAUGCACAGCUCAGAGGCAUUAAGUAUAUUUAUAUUUUUGUGCAGCCAUUACCACUAGAACUUUUUCACUUUGCAAAACAGAAACUUCGUAUGCAUUAAAUAAUAACUCCUCUUUCCAUCUUCCGCCUAUUCCCUUUUUCUGUCUCUAUGAAUUUGACUUUUCUAGGUACCUCAUAUAAGUGGAAUUAUACAGUAUUUGUGUUUUUGUGACUGGCCUGUUUCACUUAGCAUGUCUUCAAGGUUCAUUCAUAUUGUAGCAUAUAUAAGAAUUUCCCUCUUUAAGACUGAAUAAUAUUCCAUUGUGUGUGCACCUGUGUAUGUGUGCACCCUAUUUUGUUUAUUCAGCAACGGAUGCGUGGAUUGUUUCCUCCAUCUAUUCUGUACAGUUUUUUAAAAUGUGACUUGAAUUCCUGUUGCAGGACAAUAUUAAAGGAACAAAGAAGUUUAAAAGUAAAAAGCUGUGCUCUGAAGGUAAUGAAUGUCAAGGCAAAAACAUAUUUAAAACAUAAAAGCCUGUUUCCAGCAGCAAAUGCCACUGACUGAAAAAACUAACCAGACCUUGGCUUGUUCUAUAAAGUGAGGCUUUGCAAUGCCUUGUGAAAUUUUAAAGAAAAACCCCUUUGGGGGUAAUUUACCCAAUUUUGAAAGCUAAAACCCCAAUAAUAAUAUCUUCAAAUAAAGAAGUCUUUGGUGUUG
rnacentral:lncRNA from 1 species